GGCCAAUGAUUUAAUCAGUCAUGAGUACAUAAUGGAACCUCCAUAGAAACCCUACACCCUGGGGUUCUGAGAGCUUCUGGGUUGUCGAAUUGCUUCAGGGCUGGGACAAAGAAGCUCCACGCCCCUCCCCAUCCUCGCCCUGGGCAGCUCUUCCAUUGACCAUUUAUGAGCUGUAUCCUUUAUAAUGAACCAGUAAUGCGCUGAGAAGUUGCACAAACUUUGCGCUGUACAUGAGCAGGUCCACCAAGAAAGGACCAUUGUGCAAAGCUCAGGCAGGAUGUUCCUGAACUCCCGCCGGUCUCCAUGGACAGAAGCUGAGGAGAGGCUCUGCAGCCAGGCUCUUGAAAGCCUUUCUAGCCAGCCUACCUCAAAAGUAGUAUGUUUCCAGUAGGGCUGGAAUGCAUCAAUUUGCAAAAAUGUACUUUUAUAAUCUCCAAUACCUAA
rnacentral:lncRNA from 1 species